rnacentral:rRNA from 1 species
UACGGGGGGGGCAAGCGUUGUUCGGAAUUACUGGGCGUAAAGGGCUCGUAGGUGGCCAACUAAGUCAGACGUGAAAUCCCUCGGCUUAACCUGGGAACUGCGUCUGAUACUGGAUGGCUUGAAUUCGGGAGAGGGAUGCAGAAUUCCAGGUGUAGCGGUGAAAUGCGUAGAUAUCUGGAGGAAUACCGGUGGCGAAGGCGGCAUCCUGGACCGAGAUUGACACUGAUGAGCGAAAGCUAGGGGAGCAAACGGG